AGGGAAUUGCCCUAGUAACGGCGAGUGAAGCGGCAACAGCUCAAAUUUGAAAGCUAGCCUUCGGGUUCGCAUUGUAAUUUGUAGAGGAUGCUUUGGGUAAAACGCCAGUCUAAGUUCCUUGGAACAGGACGUCAUAGAGGGUGAGAAUCCCGUAUGUGACUGGAAAUGUUAACCUAUGUAAAGCUCCUUCGACGAGUCGAGUUGUUUGGGAAUGCAGCUCUAAAUGGGAGGUAAAUUUCUUCUAAAGCUAAAUAUUGGCGAGAGACCGAUAGCGCACAAGUAGAGUGAUCGAAAGAUGAAAAGCACUUUGGAAAGAGAGUUAAAAAGCACGUGAAAUUGUUGAAAGGGAAGCGCUUGCAAUCAGACUUGUUUAAACUGUUCGGCCGGUCUUCUGACCGGUUUACUCAGUUUGGACAGGCCAGCAUCAGUUUCGGCGGCCGGAUAAAGGCUCUGGGAAUGUGGCCUUCACUUCGGUGGAGGUGUUAUAGCCCAGUGUGUAAUACGGCCAGCCGGGACUGAGGUCCGCGCUUCGGCUAGGAUGCUGGCGUAAU
rnacentral:rRNA from 1 species